rnacentral:rRNA from 1 species
GUGCCAGCCGCCGCGGUAAGACAGAGGUGGCAAGCGUUGCUCGGAAUCACUGGGCUUAAAGGGUGCGUAGGCGGUUGGGUAAGCAUCCUGUGAAAUCCCCGGGCUCAACCCGGGAACUGCAGGAUGGACUGCUUAACUUGAGGCGUGUAGAGGUCACUGGAACUCUGGGUGGAGCGGUGAAAUGCGUAGAUAUCCAGGGGAACGCCCAUGGCGAAGGCAGGUGACUGGGCACGUCCUGACGCUGAGGCACGAAAGCGUGGGGAGCGAACGGGAUUAGAAACCCCCGUAGUCC